UUUUUUCUUCGCUCGCGAGUGAAAUUUUGCCGUAUCCACGCCGUUUGGGUGCGGAUCCGCACCCAACACGUACCCGACACGGGUACGGGACCUAGAUUGAAGUGUCGGGGUAACAUAGCAUAUAAACCUCAAUCUUUCAUAUUUUGAUGUAGCCCAUUAAAAUCUUUGUACUUUAAUAUAAAGUGGGAAAGUUUAUUAUUCUUCUCUCUACCGCAGCAUUUCAGGUAGGCAAUUUUAUGUUCAUAGUUGUGUUAUUUUCAUAUAUACCCCUUAAUUUAUGGGCAUUUGCAAAAUACCUCCUAAAUCAUAUAUUUGAAAAACUACCCCUCAAAUCAUCAACUUUGUGAAAAAAUAUCCCUAAAAUCAACAAAUCAUCAAGUUGGUGCUAGAAAUUUGACUAUUUUGUUGAUAAUUUUUACAUUGUGAUUACAAAUUAGCUUAUCGGAGUUGAUGAUUACUUGCUUUGAUGGUAGUCUUCUCAAAAAUUGAUGAUUUGAGGGGUGCUUUUGUAAAUACUGAGAUUUGGAGGGUAUUUUUGCAAAGAUUUAAGGGCUAUAUAUGCAAAUGACCCUUAAUAAUUUCCUGAAUCAAUUUCUAAAUUAUUGGGACACAGUGCACCAUAGUAAUCUAGAAACAUUAAUAUACUUGUCAAAAAUGUUGUGCUCAAAAUGAUCUGACAAGAAUAUGUUCCUUUAAACUUAUAAUAAGCAUGCUCACCACAACCACAUCAAAUUGACCAUCUAUUUCAGAAAUCUAUGGUGUCCUUUCCUCUGCGGCAUUUGUGAUAUGAAAUUCGAAAUCAUCCAUAAAAUAUAAGCAAUCAAGUUUGCCAGAGUUAUUUGUUACAUAUGGCCAGUCCAUCCAACGAGGAAAAUCCUCUAGUUGUAUCUCUGCAGAAAAGAACAUCAGAUUAGGUUAAGUCUAUAUUUUGAGCUUGAUCCGUGAACCAACUUUGACCCCCAAGCUUUCCUAUCCGGGCUUCAAUAUUGAUUAAUGAGGAAUUUUAAAUGUUUAUAAAGCAUAGUACAAUCAUAUCAAACUUCAUUUUGUUACACACUGAGGACAGGUUGGUAAUUUGACACAUGCUGGAAGAGGAUACAUCAUAGAGUUGUGCUAUGAGUAAAUCACUUUCUUUCUAUGUAUCUGUUUCGUAUGACUAUGAAUUAAUGACCCCCUCGGUGUGAGGCAGGCACUUCAUGAGGCUCUGUUGAGGCAAGAGGAGCUCUUAGCUUACCUUGACGGCCAGCGGGAGGCUAAGUUCAGGAAGAAGAAAUUCUGCUACUGAAAAUGCUUACCAUUUCCCACUGUCUGGUUUGUUUCUUGUUGUAAAGUAAGUUCCCAUGAAGCAUGCUCGAAAUUUACAGAAGAAAUUUCUGGUUGUUACUGGCGCACUAGUAAAUAUUUGGUAUUUUUUUAAUGUUUAUAAAAAUGAAGAGAAUCUUGUUGGUAUGAGAAAAAUGUGAGGUCUUUCCGCAGUCACGGGUGUGUUUGUUUUGUUUUGUUUUGUUUGCAUACUUUCUGCUUUGUAUUUAUUUUCUAUACUGAUUUGGCAUUUUCAUGUAAUAUGGGAUUAUGAUAAACCUAUAAGGAAUGUAUUAACGUGAAAUGUGUAAAUGAUAAAACCUUUUCUUGUAA